UACGAGAGGUGCGAGCGUUGUUCGGAAUGACUGGGCGUAAAGAGCACGUAGGUGGGUUUACAAGUCAGAUGUGAAAACCCAGGGCUUAACCCUGGACGAGCAUAUGAAACGGUAAGUCUUGAAUGUUUGAGAGGUUGGUGGAAUUCCAGGUGUAGGAGUGAAAUCCGUAGAUAUCUGGAGGAACAUCGGAGGCGAAGGCGGCCAACUGGCGAAACAUUGACGCUGAGGUGCGAAAGCGUGGGGAGCAAACAGG
rnacentral:rRNA from 1 species